rnacentral:sRNA from 1 species
UCUGCAUCAACAACUUCUGGAAGCAGAGAGUCCCUGAACCUUGGAGCAAGGAGAGAUGUAACAUACAGCCUCGGAGGGGUUGGAGGAGAGGUCCUUGGAGAUCACCUGGCUCAGCCUUCUCGUUUUCCAGAUGAUUUUUUUUAGUCCAAAGAGACUAAAUGACUUGACUAAGGCCACACAGCAUGUCAGCGGGCCAGCUAGGACUCCACCCACAGCCCCUGAGUCUGGGGAUCCCUGUGCUCUUGGCUCUGAGCAAGGCUGCCUCACUUCAUUUUAGUUUAGUCUGUGUGACUUGAGCACAAGUUCUGCACACAAAACUGUGCAAGGCCACUAAUAGCACUCACAGAGCAGUGCUAUCCCUUCCUUCCUUUGAAAUGGUGGAGGUGGAGACAGUACAUACAAGAGUUACUCAAGACAAGGAUGAGGGUGCAGGGAGGAAGCCGAGCCCUUCCAUGCCACCUCUGAGACAG